rnacentral:rRNA from 2 species
CGUAUAUUAAUGUUGUUGCAGUUAAAAAGCUCGUAGUCGAAUUUCUGGGACUUAAACUUAGUCAGUGGUUGCUAUAUGUAGCCGCUUGUACAUUGUUUCUAAGUCCCAUCUUAGUAGUGAUUGUACGUGGUAUUAAAUUAUCGUGUGCAGGAGCUGCUUCGUUUACUAUGAAGAAAUCAGCGCGUUCAAAGCAUACACUUAUUUGUAUUGAAUACUCCAGCAUGGAAUAAAAAGAUAGGACUUUUGGUGCUAUUUUAUUGGUCUGCACACCAAGUAAUGAUUAAUAGGGACAGUUGGGGGUAUUCAUAUUUGAUUGUCAGAGGUGAAAUUCUUGGAUUUCUGAAAGAUGAACUUAUGCGAAAGCAUUUACCAAGGAUGUUUUCAUUGAUCAAGAACGAAAGUUAGGGCAUCGAAGAGGAUUAGAUACCCUCGUAGUCUUAACCAUAAACUAUGCCGACUCGGGAUCAGUGGUUGUUUGUUUAACGUCUCCAUUGGCACCGUAUGAGAAAUCAAAGUCUUUGGGUUCCGGGGGGAGUAUGGUCGCAA